GGCCCGGUAGCUCAGUCGGUAGAGCAGAGGAUUGAAAAUCCUUGUGUCGACAGUUCGAUUCUGUCCCAGGCCA
rnacentral:tRNA from 1 species